GCUUUUAAGUCAGCGGUAAAAAUUCGGGGCUCAACCUGCGUCCGCCGUUGAAACUGGCGUUCUUGAGUGGGCGAGAAGUACGCGGAAUGCGUGGUGUAGCGGUGAAAUGCAUAGAUAUCACGCAGAACCCCGAUUGCGAAGGCAGCGUACCGGCGCCCUACUGACGCUGAAGCACGAAAGCGUGGGUAUCGAACAG
rnacentral:rRNA from 1 species